CUAAAUAAAAUUUAAUCCUUAACAACAAUCUAGAUUUACCAAUUGCUUUCAGUUCGACUGGUUUGCCAUCGCCCACAUAAAUGAAUCUGGCACCAUCACUAACCUUGCAUAGACACAUUGAUGUGAGUUGUGGUACCAAAAUCUAUCCACCAGAUGUGUGUAGGUAUAAAAGUUAAAUUAAUCUCAGAACAAACAAAAUUAAGAAGCAUACCUUUCUUUGCGUGUCACGCAUAAUAGUUAGUGCAUUGCUUCUUUUGGUGUCCCAGAGCUUUACAGAAGAAACAAACAUUUUCCGUCUAAACUUUUUGUUGUUUCUUCUGUUGUACUAAAAUCGCAGCAAAUUUACAUGUUUUAUUUUUCUUGUUCUUCUUAUUCUUUGAGAUCACUACUAAAUGAGCAUUUUCUAUCCUCUCAGAGUUGAGCCUUUCCUCCUCUUGAACACAAUGUGAAAUAAGUUCAUUCCGAUUUUAAGAUUCUUUCUAAUAGUUGUAU
rnacentral:lncRNA from 1 species